rnacentral:rRNA from 1 species
UGGGGAAUACUGCACAAUGGGCGAAAGCCUGAUGCAGCGACGCCGCGUGAGGGAUGACGGCCUUCGGGUUGUAAACCUCUUUCAGCAGGGAAGAAGCGAAAGUGACGGUACCUGCAGAAGAAGCGCCGGCUAACUACGUGCCAGCAGCCGCGGUAAUACGUAGGGCGCAAGCGUUGUCCGGAAUUAUUGGGCGUAAAGAGCUCGUAGGCGGUUAGUCGCGUCUGCUGUGAAAACUCGAGGCUCAACCUCGGGCUUGCAGUGGGUACGGGCUGACUAGAGUGCGGUAGGGGUGACUGGAAUUCCUGGUGUAGCGGUGGAAUGCGCAGAUAUCAGGAGGAACACCGAUGGCGAAGGCAGGUCACUGGGCCGCAACUGACGCUGAGGAGCGAAAGCAUGGGGAGCGAACAGGAUUAGAUAGCCCUGGUAGUCCAUGCCGUAAACGUUGGGCACUAGGUGUGGGGUCCAUUCCACGGAUUCCGUGCCGCAGCAAACGCAUUAAGUGCCCCGCCUGGGGAGUACGGCCGCAAGGCUAAAACUCAAAUGAAUUGACGGGGUCAUAGCUGUUUCCU